rnacentral:lncRNA from 1 species
GAGGUGUUUUGAAGCAGAGUGUGAUGUGUUGGGAGUCAGAAGCCCCAGAGUUGACUUUCCGUACCGGCACUAACUUGUUACCCGAUGUGGUGAAAUCGCUUUACUGCUCUAAUCCCCAGUGUUCUCAUCUGUGAAAUGAAGGCAGAAGGUGGGUGACAUGAUUCAUGAGGUCUCUUUGAUCUCUAGAAGUCCAGAUGCAGCAAGAUAGUUUGGGUAUUGAAAAUAUACUUAUAAAAUAAAAUGAAGCAUGGAGCUCUUCUAUUUUUGUCUUCACUGAGAAUGUCUGAAUACAGGAAAUAAACUUUGAAGAUUUGGUAAAACUCACCUCUUUGGCAGUACGGCUGAAUUUUAAAAAUCCUCCUGAGGGGGCUGGCCCCUUGGCCGAGUGGUUAAGUUCGUGCGCUCUGCUGCAAGCGGCCCAGUGUUUCAUUGGUUCGAAUCCCGGGUGCGGAUACGGCACUGCUCAUCAAGCCACGCUGAGGCAGCGUCCCAUAUGCCACAACUAGAAGGACCCACAACGAAGAAUAUACAACUAUGUACUGGUGGGCUUUGGGGAGAAAAAGGGAAA